rnacentral:rRNA from 1 species
UGCAAGUCGACGGUAGCACAGGGGAGCUUGCUCCCUGGGUGACGAGUGGCGGACGGGUGAGUAAUGUCUGGGGAUCUGCCCGAUGGAGGGGGAUAACUACUGGAAACGGUAGCUAAUACCGCAUAACGUCGCAAGACCAAAGUGGGGGACCUUCGGGCCUCACACCAUCGGAUGAACCCAGAUGGGAUUAGCUAGUAGGUGGGGUAACGGCUCACCUAGGCGACGAUCCCUAGCUGGUCUGAGAGGAUGACCAGCCACACUGGAACUGAGACACGGUCCAGACUCCUACGGGAGGCAGCAGUGGGGAAUAUUGCACAAUGGGCGCAAGCCUGAUGCAGCCAUGCCGCGUGUAUGAAGAAGGCCUUCGGGUUGUAAAGUACUUUCAGCGGGGAGGAAGGGAUGAGGGUUAAUAACCUUCGUCAUUGACGUUACCCGCAGAAGAAGCACCGGCUAACUCCGUGCCAGCAGCCGCGGUAAUACGGAGGGUGCAAGCGUUAAUCGGAAUUACUGGGCGUAAAGCGCACGCAGGCGGUUUGUUAAGUCAGAUGUGAAAUCCCCGGGCUCAACCUGGGAACUGCAUUUGAAACUGGCAAGCUUGAGUCUCGUAGAGGGGGGUAGAAUUCCAGGUGUAGCGGUGAAAUGCGUAGAGAUCUGGAGGAAUACCGGUGGCGAAGGCGGCCCCCUGGACGAAGACUGACGCUCAGGUGCGAAAGCGUGGGGAGCAAACAGGAUUAGAUACCCUGGUAGUCCACGCCGUAAACGAUGUCGACUUGUAGGUUGUGCCCUUGAGGCGUGGCUUCCGGAGCUAACGCGUUAGUCGACCGCCUGGGGAGUACGGCCGCAAGGUUAAAACUCAAAUGAAUUGACUGGGGCCCGCACACGCGGUGGAGCAUGUUGUUUAAUUCGAUGCAACGCGAAGAACCUUACCCUGGCCUUGACAUCCACGGCAUUUGGCAGAGAUGCAUUAGUGCCUUCGGCAACCGGUGAAACACAGA